GACUGUGUGUAGUGGCAGUAUCAUAGCCCAGGAGGUUUAUCUGAGGCGUGAUGAUUGCUAUUUGGGAGCUAUACCCAAUACCCCGCCUUGAUGACUUGUAACAUAGUCAGCUAUGACAAUUUUUGGUAAUCUCCGUUGAGA